rnacentral:rRNA from 1 species
UACGUAGGGUGCAAGCGUUGUCCGGAAUUAUUGGGCGUAAAGGGCGCGUAGGCGGGUCUUCAAGUUUGGGGUGAAAUCCUCCGGCUCAACCGGAGAACUGCCUCGAAUACUGAAGGUCUCGAGGGGGAUAGGGGCAUGCGGAACUACGGGUGGAGCGGUGAAAUGCGUUGAUAUCCGUAGGAACUCCGGUGGCGAAGGCGGCGUGCUGGAUCCCUUCUGACGCUGAGGCGCGAAAGCCAGGGGAGCAAACGGG